rnacentral:rRNA from 1 species
UACGUAGGCAGCAAGCGUUGUUCGGAAUUACUGGGCGUAAAGAGUGUGUAGGCGGUGUUCUAAGUCUGUCGUGAAAUCUCCCGGCUUAACUGGGAGGGUGCGGCGGAAACUGGAAUGCUAGAGGAUGGGGGAGGUAAGCGGAAUUCCUGGUGUAGCGGUGAAAUGCGUAGAUAUCAGGAGGAACACCUGUGGUGUAGACAGCUUACUGGACCAUUUCUGACGCUGAGACACGAAAGCGUGGGUAGCAAACAGG